rnacentral:rRNA from 1 species
UGAGGAAUAUUGGUCAAUGGGGGCAACCCUGAACCAGCCAAGUCGCGUGAAGGAUGAAGGUCUUAUGGAUUGUAAACUUCUUUUAUACAGGAAUAAAUUGGGGGACGUGUCCCCUUUUGCAUGUACUGUAUGGAUAAGGAUCGGCUAACUCCGUGCCAGCAGCCGCGGUAAUACGGAGGAUCCGAGCGUUAUCCGGAUUUAUUGGGUUUAAAGGGUGCGCAGGCGGGAUGUUAAGUCGGCGGUGAAAUUUUGCAGCUCAACUGUAAAAGUGCCUUCGAUACUGGCCUCCUUGAGUGUGGAUGAAGUAGGCGGAAUUUGUGGUGUAGCGGUGAAAUGCUUAGAUAUCACGGGGAACUCCGAUUGCGCAGGCAGCUUACUAAGCCACAACUGACGCUCAUGCACGAAGGCGUGGGGAUCAAACA